UGCCUUACCUGGCAGGGAGAUCACCAUGAUCAUGUGAGUUCACCCCAGGCGAGGCUCAGCCAUUGCACUCCGGCCUGUGUUGACCUAAAUUCCCCAAACUUGCAUUAGUCUUGACUGCAUAAUUUACGCUGGUGGUGCUGCGUCCUCUCGCGCUUUCCCCGA